rnacentral:rRNA from 1 species
CCUACGGCGGACAGCAGUGAGGAAUAUUGGUCAAUGGGCGCGAGCCUGAACCAGCCAAGUAGCGUGAAGGAUGACUGCCCUACGGGUUGUAAACUUCUUUUAUAAAGGAAUAAAGUGAGGCACGUGUGCCUUUUUGUAUGUACUUUAUGAAUAAGGAUCGGCUAACUUCGUGCCCGAAGCGGCGGUAAUACGGAGGAUCCGCGCGUUAUCCUGAUUUUUUGGGUUUAAAGGGAGCGGAGAUGGGUUGUUAAGUAAGUGGUGAAAUUUUGCGGCUCAACCGUAAAAUUGAAAUUGAUACGGGCAGUCUGAGUACAGCUGGGGGAGGCGGAAUUCGUGGUGUAGCGGUGAAAUGCUUAGAUAUCAUGAAGAACUCCGAUUGCGAAGGCAGGUGACUAAGCUGCCACUGACAUUGAGGCUCGAAAGUGUGGGUAUCAAACAGGAUUAGAUACCCUUGUAGUC